rnacentral:rRNA from 1 species
GAUGAACGCUGGCGGCGUGCCUAAUACAUGCAAGUCGAGCGAACAGACGAGGAGCUUGCUCCUCUGACGUUAGCGGCGGACGGGUGAGUAACACGUGGAUAACCUACCUAUAAGACUGGGAUAACUUCGGGAAACCGGAGCUAAUACAGGAUAAUAUAUUCAACCGCAUGGUUCAAUAGUGAAAGACGGUUUUGCUGUGACUUAUAGAUGGUUACGCGCCGCAUUAGCUAGUUGGUAAGGUAACGGCUUACCAAGGCAACGAUGCGUAGCCGACCAGAGAGGGUGAGGGGCCCGGCUGGAACGGAGGCACGGCCAAGAGUCCUACGGGAGACGGCAGUAGCGAAUCUGGCGCAAAGGGGGAAAGCAUAACGGAGCAAGGGCGCGUGAGUGAUGAAGGUCUUCGGAGCGUAAAACUCUGGUAUUAGGGUAGAAAAAAUGUGUAAGUAACGAUGCAAAAAUUGACGGUACCUGAACAGAAAGCGACGGCUAAAUACGUG